CGGCUGAUAACAGUUCACUUUUCCUUUCUCUUGUGCGGAGACCCAAAAGCAGUUCCCCUGAAGAGAGAGAGACCUGCAAUAGAAGUCAGCCUAGAAAUGAAACAAGCAAAGACAGUGAUGGCAGAGGAUUAAUUCCCCCUCCCUCCCAGCAAGGUAACUGCGUGUUGACGUCAUGGCAUCAAUCCAUCCAGCUAUGUCUCACUUCUCAAAAACUCAAUGAACGCAUGCACAAGCUCCAUGGCCCAGGACACAGCCAAGAACAUAGACUGUUUGUAAACGCACAUUAAAGUGAUCGAGGUAAAAUGAUAAAUGACCUCCACACAAUGCAUGAAUGGCUUCUAACGGGCCAUGUGUGUAUCCAACCGACAAGAAGUCAGAGGUUGUAAACUAGGUCUUUCAGAUGAUGCAAGGGACUGUGAAGAUGUUUUUGACAGGAGGGGAAUCUCCUUGGAUGCGUGGAACAGGGAACAUACUCUUCAGCAGUGUUUGAGUAAAUGACUUUUAAGAGAUGACUUUUGAGCAGGACAUGAGCUGCAGUUUGAGUCACAUAACACAACAGCAUGGCGUUGAUUUCCUUGAAGCGCUUCUAUGGGUGCAGAGCACACAAAAGUGCCUCUGAUGUCCCCCUCUCUUAUUUCAAGCAAUUUGAUUGCAUAGCGAAGUCCUUCCUUUGAAAUGAACAAUCUACUCAACAGACUUCAGUCUGGCUUUAAAAAAGGACACUCAGCAGAGACUGCCCUCUUGUCAGUAAUGGAAAACCUGUGACUGGCUAGAGUAAACUUUAAAUCAUCUGUCCCUAUCCUCCUUGACUUGUCUGCUGCUUUUGAUAAAGUGAACCACCAGAUUUUCCUGUCCACUCUCUCUGUCCUGGGCAUCACAGGAACUGUGCUUAGACAGUUUGAGUCAUACCUCACAGGCAGGUCCUUCAAGGCCACCUGGAGAGGUAAGGUUUUUAAGUCACACCAGCUGACCACUGGUAUUCCUCGGGGAUCAGUGCUUGGACCUCUCCUUUUCUCGAUCUACACUACAUCACUCGGACAUAUCAUUAAGGCACAUAUUUUCUCCUACCAAUACUGCACAAAUGAUACGCAGCUCCACCUGUCGUUCCAGCCUGACGACUCCACCGUCUCAGCUUGUAUCUCUGCCUGCCUCUCUGAGAUCUCGGCCUGGAUGAUGGAAUGUCACCUUCAGCUCAACCUUGCCAAGACAGAACUCCUCGUGAUCCCAGCCAACCUGUCUGUUGAUCAGAGCCUCUCUAUUCAUCUUGGUUCAACUACACUAAUGCCAACCAGAAUAGCCCAGAACCUGGGAGUGAUGGUGGAGGACCAGCUUAAAUUCACUGCCAAUAUCUCAUCAACCGCCCGGUCUUGCAGGGUUUUAAUGCUAUCAUUGGUCAGCACAUUACCACAAAUAACACACUGCAGACGUGGUUCAGCAGAUGUUCCAGCUACUGUAAAUACAAAUGAAAGAUUCCUAUCGCUGAUGUCUGUGGAGGAAAGCUGCGGCUCGAGAUUACAUAGCCUGCUUUAACGGUCCCCGUGCUGACAGCAUUCAUGGCAACCAAAAAAUAAGUGUUAUUUUUCAAAUUACAGCAUUCACGGACAUCUGGAUCCUUAUAAUAAUUUUGUAAAUAUUAAUUCAUAAUUCCAAAACACAUUUUAUGAUAUGUUGCUUAAGUAUUUAUGGUCACUUUUUCAUGAUUAAAAAAAUAUAUUAAAAAAUAAUUAUAAAUACUGUAUGUGUGUUUACACCCCUUUCAAAAUUUCAGGCCCCCCAGUUUGAGAACCACUGGUCUAGCCAUAUAGUGUAAUUUUAAAUAAAGCCAAAGGGGUCCUACAUACCUUGUUAUAGCUCAGUCUAAGUGUGGUUUGAUUUCACUUAAAAUGUUUUUUGGAGGUAUUGUGAUAUGUAAAUUACCAAUUUUGCUGGAAGUUACAAUUCUUUGCCCCUUUCCUUUUGCAUUCCCUCUCUUCGUCCUUCAUUCCUGUCCCUCAGCUCUCUCUCUUCUCAGGAAAACCAUUCAUUGAUCUUUACCAGAGAAUGGAAUAGACGGACUGACAGAGGAAAAGAAGAAAAGGUUUUUUCCAGGGUCUGUAUGAGGUGUCUGUGGAGGUGACUGCUCAUCUCUGUGAUUGGCUGAUCCCGUGCAACAGCUGUUCCAAUAAAUAAAACUCAAACUCCAAGUCGGCAUGAAAACGCCUCCAGAGCAUGUGUUUGUCCGACACCACUGCAGCCAGCGGGGAAAUGCAGGGUGGGAGUGCGCACACACACACACACACACACACACACACACACACAAAGAGAGAGUUAUCAUUGUAUUCAGGAUGUGACUUUUGUUACAAAAGACAUAGAACAAGAGGUUACACUGUCUUAUAUAAAUUAAAAAAGGGAAACAGAAUCACAAUAAAGAAGAGUGAAAGAGACAAUGAAUGUGAAAGAAAGAGAGAGAGUAAGAAAAAAGUUUACGAGAACCAUAUGAAAGUAUUAAACACAGUGACUAAACCUCUAUAAACGAUAACCAGUAAUCAUCAUCUUGCAGGCUCUCUCUCUCGCCCACUCUCUUCUCUCAAUUAAUUUUAUUCCCUGCUGGAUUCGCCUAUAUUAGCAUGCAUGUAUCAUGAUUAAUAGAUAUAGUUUAGAGGUGUUUUAUGGGUAAUUACUGUUUGCUUGAAUCAGUCAUAUCCACACACAUAUACACAGAUUAGAUUUAAAGCUAAACAUGAUUUAGCAAAUUUAUGAGUCAUUUUUACUAGUGAGGUCCACUCUCACAAGUCAGUGGUGUAGAAUUUUCACUAUAUCAGUGAGGUCAUUUUUGACAAAGGACUAGUGAGGUCCAGGUUGAGGGCCACAGUUUGGUUCCAGAAGUAAAAAUCCCAUUAAUUUUCUCUUUAGCGAAUAACCUAUAAUCCUUUAAAGACAGACCUACCGUGAGCUCCGAUGUUGUUAAUCGAUGGUACAAGAUCUGUUGAAGCCAUCAGUAUGCAUAAUUUAAUCUUCAUUUUUAAAAAGUCAUUUUUAAUAGAGGAAUUUCUGGUUAAGUACUACACCUGUAAAUCCUAAAGGGAAAGAUCCACCAAUCAGUUGUGGCGAACAAAGUGCACUAACAGAAGUAUGCAGUGACCACCUCCAUGACGCACUGUAAAUUAUGCAAUCGAGUCACCCUACACUCCCAAAUGACUUAUAUAUUGGAUUUUAUCUGAAUAUUUUGCAAUAAAUUUAAUACAUAUUGUUUAUAUACUUAUAAUCAACAACAUUAAAUCAACAGUUUUAUAAUUUCCAAUCAUUUUUACGUCAUUCGCAAAGCUCCAUGGGAUUGUAGUUUAUUAUUCCCUCAUUAAACAUGUUAAGUAUACAGCUUUAUACCUUUGCCUUUUUGUCUGAUUUUCAAAUACUUUUUUUGUUUAAAAUCAAAGUUUGUGUCAUUGUGAUUCACCUCAGAGCUGGUUGGUUUGGUUCAUGGCUUAGAACUGUUUUAUGAAGGAUUUUAUGAAAUACCUAUGGAAAAAUGGGAAAAAUACUUCCGGAACCAAAAAUGGAUGAGCCAAGGUGUUUUAAACGUUUUGUAACUAUGCCUUUGCUAGGGUGUUCUGGGUGGUUGGUUGCUAUGGUGUUGCUUACUGGUCCAAGUCAAAAAAGCCCACCGCUGAAUCUCUUUAAUAUUUUAGUCCCUGUAUAUGCCUCGAGUCACUCCCUUAAUGUAAGUCUUUGGGAUUUUUGCCCAUUUUAUUGCCCGCCUGUCAAAAAUUUUAAAUCCGGUGGCUCAGGAAAGUAAUAUCACACCUCUCCUCAACAACCACCCAAUUUGAGUAUCAUUCAUGUCCGUUCCACAAAAAACGCUUGAUGAAUUGCAGGCUUUAUGGUCAGUGUUGGAAUAAAAAAAAAAAAGGAAAAAAAAGAAAACAUAAAUCUGAGCAAUAAUAAUAGUUAAGACUGCCAGUUCCAAACACGACCAGUAAGAGUGAUAGAAAGCCAGUAAGAGAGAAAAGCGAGUAUAAAUGAGCAGAAUACAUGAGCAUUGUGACCGACCCUAAACUAAAAAAGGUCUUGAUGAUGUACAGACUCAGUGAACAUAGCCUCGCCAUAUAAAAAGGCAGACACAUACAGACCUGGCUACCAGAAGAAGACUCCCACUGCACACAAAAUGAAGUGAAAACAGAACUGCACUUUUUAACAACAUGCCCCAAUUAUGCACAAAUUAGGGAAACAUUUUUUCCCCAAUUCACAACUCACUAAAAAGACUUUACUCAGAUACAACACAAGGACAAACUUUCAUACCUAUGUGGAGAAACCCCAGCAAGUUCAAACCUAGCUGUGAGGUAUGUCAAGUCCUGCCACAACAAAAGGACAACCAGUGGAACAGAACCAAGACCGGACAAUAACUGAAACACUGUGCAACAUGCAUAAAAUGGUGCACAUAACAUAACAAACAGCUUUUAUUUAUUUUUUUACCAUGUCAAUAAAGCUAUUUGAAUGUUGAAUCUUGAAAGAGAGAGAGAGAGAAGGGGGAGAUGCUGGUAAGGUCACUGGGUCCAGUAUUUGUAUUGUGAUGGUAAUUAAGGGAUGUGAUCAUCUUGCACGGCUGUAUAGUCUCUGUUUAGGGACAGAUAGCAUUCUAAUUUACUUUGUUGAGCUGUUGCUUCUGUCCAAUGUUUUAGAUGUUUUUCUUUUUGUGUUUUAAUAAUUUGAUUUGGUCUAGCUGGGGUUUUGUAAUGGGGUUCAGCUGGACAUGUUUUGGAUUGUAAAGUCAGCUCUAAGAACAAAUCAGCUCUAAGAGGGGUCUUCGCCCGCCCUCUCUCUCUCUCUCUCUCUCUCUCUCUCUCUCUCUCUCUCUCUCUCUCUCUCGCUCAAUUGCACAUGCAUACACACAAUCACACACCACAGGCACAUUCAUACAUAUACAAAACAAAUAAUCAGUCCAUACAGACAGAUACUCACAAACAUGAACAUAAAUCUCUCUCAUUCUUUCUUUUAAUGUGCACAAACUAGGAACACACACAGAUUAGGAUGGUGUUCACAGCCCAGUGAUAGAAGGAUAUUUGUUGAAAGAAGAGAAGGUUAGGCCACCCAGAAGAACAAAAGAGCAAAGUGAAAUACUGUAUAGAAAGAAGGAUGAGAACGGAAAGGAGAGGAUUUGAAACAGCUCUUGAGUCAAAGCAAUGCUGCUUCACUGGCACACAUUCUGCCUCACAUACACAAACAUUCUGAGUACGUUUGGGCAGUUAUAAUUGAACUACCAUGGGUUUUUGCAUUGUCGAGCUACUGUCUUCAUUUCUCUGUCCAAGUAUACAUGACACUAUCUGCAAUCGAACAGGUGUAAAGAGGACAUCAGAGGAAGUGACAUAGAUGCUUUUUGGUUGACCUUUUGCGUCAAGGUAGAGCGCCGAUGAGUCAUUUUUAUUUUAUGAUGGAAUUUGUGAAAAUAGUCCACGUAAGAUAUAUAUAUAUAUAUAUAUUUUUUUUUUUAAAAGAAAGGCAUUUAAUACUACCACUGCAAAUGGGAAGGGAGGGAGAAGGGAGAAUAAUCAUAAUAGCCACGCUGUAAGAUCGCUUCAAACUGAAUUUCCAGUAAAAAUGACUUAAAACGUGAGUUCUGAAUAAACAAUAUUUUUGAGCCCCACACAUUGUUCAGCCUUCCAAAUUUCUCACAGUGGAUGGUAAAUUCUGUGACGGGAAUAGGGCAUAGGGAUGAUCACUUCUGAAAUAAAUGCACCAUGUGUUGUUGUUUCACUUCUUCUUCUCUCCUUUGUGUUGUGUUCGAAUUCCAGGUUAAAUACACUUUGUGCGACACCUCUGUUUCUUGGAGCAAGCGCAUAACAACAAGGCCUAUUGCGGUCCGAUUAACAUACUGGACAGAUCCGAUCUACAGUUGCAUUAUCUAGGUCUGUUAGUUCAAUUUCGCAAAAACCGGACUGGAAUGAUUUCAGUCGGACUAACGUGUUUACAUAACAUUUUAAAAAGACAAAUUAUUACUUUAAUCCAAUUGAAAAUGUAUUGUAAUUUUCUUUCUUUCUCUCUCUCUUACACACACACACACACACACACACACACACACACACACACACACACACACACACACUUGAUUGGAUAUGUGGCAUGUGACCAGGUCACUCCUGGCUAUUUCAGUAUUUCAGUGCAGAUCCCUGAUUUCUCCUUCAUGUGUCCUCCCCUUCCAUGUGUAUGUGUGUGUGUGUGUGUGUGGUCAGGUUUGGGUGGUUUGCGAGGAAAUGUUUUCUGGUUACAAACUGGUAAUUACAAGGGUUAUAUGCUAUAAAUGUGGUUUAUGAGGGCAUUUCUAGUGUCCCCAUAAUUCAAAUCGCUUAAAAAAACAUACUAAAUUAUGUUUUUGUUUUUUUAAAUGUAAAAAUGCAGAAGGGUUUUUUGUGAGGGUUAGGUUUAGGGGUAGGGUUAGGGGACAGAAUCUAUAGUUCGUACAGUAUAAAAAUCAUUAUGUCUAUGGAGAGUCCUCAUAAUGAUAGCUGCACCAACGUGUGUGUGUGUGCUAUGAUUUGGCAGUAGUUCUGGACUACAACUUUGAAUGCUUUUGCUAAUAUUUAAGAGUAAUGCCUCUAGGUUGGUACACAAAAUUUGCCAGGGAUGUGGGGUAAAACAACAAGCUAUGUCAGUCUCAGUUACUGUAAAUACGAAUGGAUGGCACAUGAGUACACUUAAAUUAAACAUACAUGCUUUUGUCAUGCUUGUACAGGAGAGCUGAUUAUGAGAGAUAAAGUUUCCCUGCUCUGUGUUCCACAAAGUACCAUUACAUCUUUCUUUCUGUUUCUUUGUCCAUGUAUUCAUAAAUCCAACGUUUAACUGAAGAUGUUUCAACAGCGCCCUCUGUUGAUUUUAACUAGUCCUGUUAAAAAAGGUCCAAUAAUCUUUCACUCAGCCCUAGUCUGAAGAAACAACAGACAAUCAGAAAAACAAUGCGACCGACAUACCUUCGUAACUGCAAGACAGCAUAACAUUCUCAAGUGCAAAUGAAAGUUCCCGCUUGUCAAAACUUUGCUGUUGUUUUAAUGCAUUUAAUUAGAUACUGGCGUCAGCUCUCAUGGGAGACCAGAGCGCAUGCGUAAUUAGCUCUAAUUAAACACAUAUCAAUGCUACUCUUACCCCUCUCGGAGUAAAGUAAUGAGAGAAGCGUACCUUAGAGAAAUAGUAUUGCUGUUUUAGGCAUUCUUAGAUCCCUCUGGGCCAACAGGAGAACUGACCUACAGUUCCUGUCUCCUCUCUGAUCAAUGGUAUUGAUCAGGUUUAUGCUAAUAGGUAAGGAAUGAAUAAUAGGGGAGACUGCUUGAAUCUGCCAUGCCAGCAACUAUACAAAAUAGAGCUCAAUAAUACACAAUUUACAUAACCACAGAACUUUGCUAAUAGCAGUGAAGAACAAUAGAAGAACUAAGUUUAAACUUUACAUUACAGGAAAUAUGUGAACUUCAGAACAUUCCACAGACAAAAUUCAGAAACUCAUAGAAAGCAUAGCUGGAUGUUUCUUCAACUUCAUGUAAAGUUUUGUUAUAACAUUUUGUACACUCUCAGUAGUGUAUUUAAUGUGUCUACUGACCUAGACACAUU